rnacentral:rRNA from 1 species
AAGGGCACCACAAGAACGCGUGGAGCAUGUGGCUUAAUUUGACUCAACGCGGGAAAUCUUACCGGGUCCGGACACACUGAGGAUUGACAGACAAAUAUAGAAAUUUUAUAUUUCCUAUAUAUAAAGAUGCUAGUUCUUUCAUGAUUAUGUGAUAGGUGGUGCAUGGCCGUUCUUAGUUCGUGGAGUGAUCUCUCUGCUUAAUUGCGUUUCAAUUUUUUUUUAKKAAACGUWUUGACCCAGGUUUACGCGUGCGAGUCUGGUAUGCUUUCAUUGAAAAGCAAGGAACGUGCCCGUAUUCCCUUUUUUUAAWACGCCASGCGUAUAUUUUUUCAUUAAGGGGMCCGCUGUUUCUUUUUUUAAACCAGAGGAGGGUUACGGAAAUAACAGGCUUGUGAUGCCCUUCGAUGUUCCGGGCUGCACACGUCCUACAAUGAUUAUUUCAUUAGGUAUCUACUAUCCUGCAAUUUAUGUGUAUUAAAACCUACCCKGAGAAUGGGSGGGUAAUCAUUUAGAAGUAAUGAUUUCCUUUUUUUUAUACGCAACUAUGUACCGUAUAUUACAUCCCAUAAUAUUUUUUUUAUUAUGCGUGUGUGUUUUAUUACCGUGUACGCGUAAUUGUUAAUUCAUGGUGGGGAUAGACCAUUGUUAAUUGUUGGUCUCGGUCUUAACUAGGAAUGCCUUGUACGGGUCAUUGGUUCAACAAACCACCCGGAACACGUCCCUGCCCUUUGUACACACCGCCCGUCGCUCUUACCGAUGAACUUCGCUAUGAAUCUGUUGGACUGUAUCCUUUAAUGAAUACGGAAAGAUAUAUGAAUAGUGUGGUUUAAAGGAAAGAGAAGUCGAACAAGGCA